rnacentral:lncRNA from 1 species
UGGGCAAACGUUGAUAUAUUUGCUUGGUUGUCUUCAGAUAUAUCAGGUGUGGAUCCAGAGGUCUUGGUACACCGACUCAAUAUGGACCCAAAGUAUUAUUCGGUCAGAUAGAAGAAACAUCCUUUUGCACCUGAUCGAUAGAAGGCCAUAUAAAAAAAGAUGGACAAACUUUUAAAAGUCAGGUUCAUAUGAGAAGUAUAUUACCCAGAGUGACUAGCCAAUGUUAUCCUCAUCCCAAAACCAAAUGGAAAAUGAUGCACAUGCA